rnacentral:rRNA from 1 species
GGGCUCANCCUGGGANNUGCAUUNGAAACUGGCAGGCUAGAGUCUUGUAGAGGGGGGUAGANUUCCAGGUGUAGCGGUGAAAUGCGUAGAGAUCUGGAGGAAUACCGGUGGNGAAGGCGGCCCCCUGGACAAAGACUGACGCUCAGGUGCGAAAGCGUGGGGAGCAAACAGGAUUAGAUACCNUGGUAGUCCACGCCGUAAACGAUGUCGACUUGGAGGUUGUGCCCUUGAGGCGUGGCUUCCGGAGCUAACGCGUUAAGUCGACCGCCUGGGGAGUACGGCCGCAAGGUUAAAACUCAAAUGAAUUGACGGGGGCCCGCACAAGCGGUGGAGCAUGUGGUUUAAUUCGAUGCAACGCGAAGAACNUUACCUACUCUUGACAUCCAGAGAACUUAGCAGAGAUGCUUUGGUGCCUUCGGGAACUCUGAGACAGGUGCNGCAUGGCUGUCGUCAGCUCGUGUUGUGAAAUGUUGGGUUAAGUCCCGCAACGAGCGCAACCCUUAUCCUUUGUUGCCAGCGGUUCGGCCGGGAACUCAAAGGAGACUGCCAGUGAUAAACUGGAGGAAGGUGGGGAUGACGUCAAGUCAUCAUGGCCCUUACGAGUAGGGCUACACACGUGNUACAAUGGCGCAUACAAAGAGAAGCGACCUCGCGAGAGCAAGCGGACCUCAUAAANUGCGUCGUAGUCCGGAUCGGAGUCUGCAACUCGACUCCGUGAAGUCGGAAUCGCUAGUAAUCGUAGAUCAGAAUGNUACGGUGAAUACGUUCCCGGGCCUUGUACACACCGCCCGUCACACCAUGGGAGUNGGUUNCAAAAGAAGU